rnacentral:rRNA from 1 species
UACGUAGGGUGCGAGCGUUAAUCGGAAUUACUGGGCGUAAAGUGUGCGCAGGCGGCCGUGCAAGUCGAGUGUGAAAGCCCCGGGCUUAACUUGGGAAUUGCGCUCGAAACUACGUGGCUGGAGUGUGGCAGAGGAAGGUGGAAUUCCACGUGUAGCGGUGAAAUGCGUAGAGAUGUGGAGGAACACCAAUGGCGAAGGCAGCCUUCUGGGCCAACACUGACGCUCAUGCACGAAAGCGUGGGGAGCAAACAGG